CUGACCCUGAAUCAAGGCCGGCAGCUUCCUGACACUGUUGGUUUCAAGCAGGAGCCUAAAGAUAUGUCUUUCUGUGGUCUGUUGGCCGGUUCAGAACUUGGGCAGUGAAACGGUCAAUCGUUAGAAAGACACAGCU
ensembl:snoRNA